CAGUCGCCACGGUAUUACGGAGGGUGCAAGCGUUAAUCGGAAUUACUGGGCGUAAAGCGCACGCAGGCGGUCUGACAAGUCAGAUGUGAAAUCCCCGGGCUUAACCUGGGAACUGCAUUUGAAACUGUCAGGCUGGAGUCUUGUAGAGGGGGGUGGAAUUCCAGGUGUAGCGGUGAAAUGCGUAGAGAUCUGGAGGAAUACCGGUGGCGAAGGCGGCCCCCUGGACAAAGACUGACGCUCAGGUGCGAAAGCGUGGGGAGCAAACAGGAUUAGAUACCCCUGUAGUCCCUGUCUCUUAUAC
rnacentral:rRNA from 1 species